GGAAGCAAUGCAACAUAUUCCCCCUGUAUUUCAGGGACUUACAACUAAAAGUUGACAAGGUCCUGUCAGGAUUUAUGACUAAUAUUUUGGGUCUGGGGAAUUAGUGUGAACAAGAAAUCUCAUCUUUCAGAUGCAUUGCAUAUAGAGAGGCUCUCACCUGCAGCUCCUAUUCUACUUAAUAUAUGGUAAUCCAGGCAACUUUCCCAUUCAUCAGUAAACAUCCAGCAUUCCCCAGAUUCCUCCAUCAUUUUAAGUGAGGUCCUCCACUAAAACCUGCCACAUUUCUAGCAGCAUGCAAAUCAUGCAAUCCUGUGGGCUCACAAGGUUUACUUCCUUCUGAACAUAGAUGUUAUUUCCACUUGGAGAGAAGACCAGCUUUUCUCACUUGUUGUGAGAAAAGCAGCAUGCUUCUAUGGCGUGCAAGUUCAAGGCCACAUGAAUUUUGCUGUUCAGAGAGAGAUAAAGCAAGACUACAAAGGCAAAUACCUACAACAUGAAAUACAACCUGAUUUCUACUCAUCUCCAUCAGAAGCUCCAGUGCUGACCACAAAUACACAGCAUUGAGACAGGCUGGCAAUGCUCUAGUAUGCUGGUGAAAUGGUUACAGGGGGCUGAAUACACUGUGAGUGCAGGUGUGAUGGCUCACAGGCAAUCAUCAGCAGGGCUGAAACAGACAGGGGAGCCUUAACCACACCCAGCUUCCUUCUGGCUUUUCACUGAUUUUUCAGAGAGAAGCUUCCUUCAAGAAGCAGGACAGAGCAGAGAAGGUUGGGAGGGCAUGAAGUAGUUUGUGUGUGCCUUUGACAUUGCAAAAUAUGUUAAAUUAGCAGUGUGAAGAUCCUGCCUGAUCAUCAGCAGGAUCACUGUGUAGGAUGAUGUAUUUAGUUUGUGUGCAAGUUUUUGGUAGUGGAGGGUUGCACAGGUGGGUUCUGUGAGAAGCUUCUAGAUGUUUCCCCGUGUCUAACAGAGCCAAUGCUAGCAUGCUCCAAGACACUGGCUGCUGGGCAUGACUGGGCUCAUUAGCAAUGGUGUUAGAGAUUCUGGGAUAACACAGUUAGGAAAGGGGGAAAAAUCCUGCACAACCACAGCCAGACAGAGGAGUGAAGGUGUGUCAGAAACAGCCCUGCAGACACCCAGGUCAGGACAGAAGCAGGAAGAGGAGCUGCUCCAGGUACCAGAACACAUUUGCCUGCAGCCCAUGGGGGUCCAUGAGGGAGCAGAGAUCCAUCUGCAGUCCAUGGAGGACCCCACAAUAGAGCAGGUGGGUGCCUGAAAGAGGCUGUGACCCUGUGGAAAGCCCAUAUUAUUUCUGUGUUUUCACUCCUCUGUCCAGCUGAGUAAUAGAGAAGCUCUGAUUGCUCCUGAGGUCCAGCCAGGGUCACCCCACCACAGACAGUCUACUCAUCUCCAUGCUUGAAGUAAAGCAGCAGUUUGCAGUUUCAGUGGAGAACUUGGAGAACACAGACACCUGUGCUGUCAGUCUGACUCACGGGGGAAUUUGGCUGCAACGGUUCCACUUCAGCUAAUCCUGGAUGUUGUGUCAGAAGAAGAACACAUGGAGCACAUGAGUGUGUGUGUGUGUGUGUGUGUGAGUGUGUGAGGAGGGGGUCCAGGAUAGGGAACAGACUUUUGUCUGGAUCUGCCAACCACAUCACAUCUUUCUCCUCCUUUACUGUUCACCUUGUCAUUUCACCUUUGAGACACUUUGUCCCUUACGACACAAAAACCAUUUAAGGGAAGAUGCAUCUGCUUAAAAAAUAAACCACUGCUUUCCUGCUAGCCCCACACUAGCCUGUGCUGCUUGUUGACUCCAUCUCAGCCAUUCAGCAUCUGCUCCAAGUGCUGCUUCAAAGUAAGCUCUGCUGGUGACAAGACAACAGCCAAGCAGACUAUGGAGCAUUCAGUAAAGUAGGGAUUAACACCCAAGUAAAAAGUAGCAAAGGAAAUGUAUGCUGCAGACACAAUCAGCACCACAACUGGCCCAGCCUUGUGUCCUGCCUGGCAAUGGUCUCCUACUAUAGUUGCCUGCAAAAUUAAUAAGAAGGUGCCCCAGCAUGCCAAACGCCAGCAAACUGUCCCUGUCCCAGUAUUCACUCACCUGCCUGAUCCAGGAUGUGUCAGAGGGUGGAUGGUCAGAUAACUGCAUGCUGACAAGUCACACACAGGAAGCCUCUUUAGGGAGAGUCAAGAGGGGGCUGAAUUCUCCCCCUACCAUGGGAACACCUACAGCCCUAACAAAUGACUCCAAGUACUUCUUGAGAUGAUUUAGUGUAAUCUAAAAUGGUUACCUGUUCAAUUGGCAGGAUGUGUCUAGCUGCUUUAUGAUGAGAGAAAAUAGUAAUGAAGCAUGGGAAGCAGAAUGGACUUAAUGUGAAUGUGCCUAAACUAAAAAUCAGAGUUGAAUGAAUCCUUAAAAUUAUUUCUCUGGUUUCAGCAUUUAAACAAAAUCAUAACCAGUUUUAAUAACACUUACAAGGUUUUUUAAUAAAUCAAAUGCUGAACAGUUUGUUUGGAGCAUGUUGCUAUGUAGGGGUGGCCUUGGUUUUGCCUACUAUCUUCCCCAAACCAGAAAUGCCAAAAGUAGUCAUAUGCUUGAGUUUCCUGCAGAACUGUUCUUUUUGUGACAUGAGGCAAAGCAGACAAUGCAGGAAUCUGGUGAACAUCAUGCUGUACUAUGCUGAAGAGAUAUUUGAAGAAUCAGACACCCUAAAAGCGCAUUUUCCAUUUGUCCCAAGGUAGUGGGUGAGUCUGGCUAUGAUCAGACAGUGGUGGGUGGAGAGUGGUUUAGGAUGCCAUUGUCAGACUGUCACUGUGCUUGACUACCUGCAGCCCCCUCAGCUGAGGCAGCCUGACUGGCACAAACACUAUUUUAUGGCAGAUGAAGCUGAUUUGCCUCCUUUGCACUGCGGGGUGGAACAAGCAGAUGCUGACUGCUCCAGUCUCUUUGCUGAGAGCUGCUGGCUGGACCUCAGUAACUCAACUGCUUGUGAACCUGCCUGACCAGGAGAAGAUGGAGCUUCCUGCUAUGGGGACAGUGCACGCGGACCCAUGGGAUUUGCUGAAGUGGCAGAUAAAGAGCAAUUAAUACAGUGUGACAGAACUGUAUUUUUUUCAUUUUCAAGGUUGAUGAGAUGAGAUUUUGGGAUGUAUUUCUCUCUCUGUCCCCCACAAUCAGCUAAAUUGUUUCUGAGGCUGAGGACUCUGAUUCCCUGAUGAAUUCUAAUUUCUCAAGUAAGCUGAGAAUUUAAAUUACAUGUGAAAUGAAAUUAAUAUGUCUACUCAAAUUCUGCUGAAUGAUGAACAGGUUCAUGAGCAAAUGAAAUGAGAAAGAAUGAAAUGCUGUCUACAGCUUAUUCAAGCCCAAGUCUUGAUUUCAGUUCACUUGCAUCACUUAGAUGGGGGACAUUGGCAUGAAGCUAGGUAACAUUGAAAUCUUAUCUACCUUUCACCUCUGACAGUAUUUGUCAGUGAGGACUGUCACUGCUUGGAGAGGAUUUCAGGGUACAUACAUAUAUUUGGGGCUUUGCCUGCAGGGU